rnacentral:rRNA from 1 species
AGUGAACGCUGGCUGUAGGCCUAACACAUGCAAGUCGAACGGCAGCACAGUAAGAGCUUUCUCUUACGUGUGGCUAGUCGCGGACGGGUGAGGGAUACAUCUGAAUCUCCUUUUUCGUGGUUGAUAACGUAGUUGAACUUACGCUACUACUGCAUACUACUUACUGUUUAAAGCAUCUGAUCUUCGUACCUUGCUCGUUUGAAUGAGCCGAUGUCGCAUUAGCUAGUUGGCUGGGUAAAGGCCCACCCAGCCGACGAUCCGUAGCUGAUCUGAGAGGAUGAUCAGCCACACUAGAACGGAGACAAGGUACAGACUCAUCCGGGAGGCAGCAGAGGGGAAUAUUGGACAAUGGGAGGAAGGAUGAUCCAAACAUGCCGCGUGGGGGAAGAAGGGAUGCGGGUUGUAAAGCUAAUUUGUUGGGAAAGAAAAGCAGAAGGUGAAUAGCCAGAUGUUCUGAAGGUACCCAAAGAAUAAGCACCGGCUAACUUCGUG